AAACCCCCUCGCCGAAAGACUAAGGUUUCCUGAUCAACGCUAAUCGGAUCAGGGUUAGUCGGGUCCUAAGGCUCAGCCGAACGGUGAGGCCGAUGGCAGAACAGGUUAAUAUUCCUGUACUACCUUAAGGAGUGACGUGGAGACGGAGUCGUGACAACGCCGCGGACUGACGGAAUAGUCCGUUGAAGGGUGUAGAUGUUGAUUGUGGCAGGCAAAUCCACCACGAGAGUCGAACCUGAUAGUAUACCAAUUCCUUCGGGAAACGGUAAUAGUGCGUGUAAACAUACUCCCGAGAAAAUCCGCUAAACUUAAUCCUUGAGGUACCCGUACCGCAAACGGACACACGUAGUCGGGUUGAAUAUACUAAGGCGCUUGAGUGAUUCACGGUUAAGGAACUAGGCAAAUUGACCCUGUAACUUCGGGAUAAAGGGUCCCAACGAGAGUUGGGCGCAGAGAAUAGGUCCAGGCAACUGUUUAACAAAAACACAGGGCUGUGCCAAAUUGAAAGAUCACGUAUACAGCCUGACACCUGCCCGGUGCUGGAAGGUUAAGAGGAGAUGUCAUCGCAAGAGAAGCGUUGAAUUGAAGCCCCAGUAAACGGCGGCCGUAACUAUAACGGUCCUAAGGUAGCGAAAUUCCUUGUCGGGUAAGUUCCGACCUGCACGAAUGGUGUAAUGAUCUGGACACUGUCUCAACCGUGAGCUCAGUGAAAUUGUAGUAUCGGUGAAGAUGCCGAUUACCCGCGAUGGGACGAAAAGACCCCGUGAACCUUUACUAUAGCUUAACAUUGAAUUUGGGUAAUUGAUGUGUAGGAUAGGCCGGAGACUUUGAAGCAGGUACGCCAGUAUUUGUGGAGUCGCUGUUGAAAUACGGCCCUUUGAUUAUUUGAGUUCUAACUCGUAGAUGCGAGGACACUGUUUGGUGGGUAGUUUGACUGGGGUGGUCGCCUCCAAAAGUGUAACGGAGGCUUCUAAAGGUGCCCUCAGGACGAUUGGUAACCGUCCGUAGAGUGUAAUGGCAUAAGGGCGCUUGACUGGGAGACAUACAAGUCGAUCAGGUAGGAAACUAGAGCAUAGUGAUCCGGUGUUUCCGCAUGGAAGGGACAUCGCUCAAAGGAUAAAAGGUACUCCGGGGAUAACAGGCUGAUC
rnacentral:rRNA from 1 species